rnacentral:rRNA from 1 species
CCGGCGACCGGCGCACGGGUGAGUAACAUGUAUGCAACCUGGCCGUGACAGAUGGAUAACCGGGAGAAAUCCCGCCUAAUACAGCAUGACGCCGGGAAGGGACAUCCCUUUCCGGCCAAAGGGGGCGACUCCGGUCACGGAUGGGCAUGCGGCGCAUUAGGUAGUUGGUGGGGCAACGGCCCACCAAGCCGACGAUGCGUAGGGGUUCUGAGAGGAAGGUCCCCCACAUUGGAACUGAGACACGGUCCAAACUCCUACGGAAGGCAGCAG